rnacentral:rRNA from 1 species
CCUACGGGAGACAGCAGUGGGGAAUAUUGCACAAUGGGGGAAACCCUGAUGCAGCGACGCCGCGUGAGUGAAGAAGUCUUUCGGUAUGUAAAGCUCUAUCAGCAGGGAAGAAAAUGACGGUACCUGAUUCAUAUGCCCCUGCUAACGACGUUCCAGCCGCCGCGCGAAUACGUAGGCGUCAAGCGUUAUCCGGAUUUACGGGGUGUAAAGGGGGCGUAUACGGCAGCACAAGUAUGGAGUGAAAUGCCGGGGCUUAACCCCGAAACUGCAUUGGAAACUGUGCAGCUAGAGUGCAGGAGAGGUAAGUGGAAGUCCUAGUGUAGCGGUGAAAUGCGUAGAUAUUAGGAGGAACACCAGUGGCGAAGGCGGCGUACUGGACUGUAACUGACGUUGAGGCUCGAAAGCGUGGGGAGCAAACAGGAUUAGAUACCCCAGUAGUC